rnacentral:rRNA from 1 species
GAUGAACGCUGGCGGCGUGCCUAAUACAUGCAAGUCGAGCGAACAGACGAGGAGCUUGCUCCUCUGACGUUAGCGGCGGACGGGUGAGUAACACGUGGAUAACCUACCUAUAAGACUGGGAUAACUUCGGGAAACCGGAGCUAAUACCGGAUAAUAUAUUGAACCGCAUGGUUCAAUAGUGAAAGACGGUUUUGCUGUCACUUAUAGAUGGAUCCGCGCCGCAUUAGCUAGUUGGUAAGGUAACAGCUUACCAAGGCAACGAUGCGUAGCCGACCUGAGAGGGUGAUCGGCCACACUGGAACUGAGACACGGUCCAGACUCCUACGGGAGGCAGCAGUAGGGAAUCUUCCGCGAUGGGCGAAAGCCUGACGGAGCAACGCCGCGUGAGUGAUGAAGGUCUUCGGAUCGUAAAACUCUGUUAUUAGGGAAGAACAAAUGUGUAAGUAACUAUGCACGUCUUGACGGUACCUAAUCAGAAAGCCACGGCUAACUACGUG